GGUAAUGUGGCUUAGUGGUAAAGUGCUUGUCUAACAUGCAUGAAGCUGUGGGUUCUUUUCCUCAGUACCA
rnacentral:tRNA from 1 species